AUUCUGAUGGUUGUGAGAAGUUGCAAGAAGUUGAGGGGCUGAAAAAAGUGGAAAAGUCACCAACUCAGCCGGAGUGGAAAGUGGGGCAAUGUCUACGUGGUAAUGGUAUUGAGAAGUUACAAGAACUUGAUGGGCUUGAUGAAUUGAGAUCAUUAGGGCUGUUACAAGGUGGGACCUCUGAGAAGUUACUCAACCAAUCGAACUAUGGAGUAUUGAGACAAUGGUAUGCCGAUGGCUGCGAGAAGGUACCAGAACUCGAGGGGCUCGAAAACCUGGAAAAUUUUCACUUAGAAGUCUUUGACGAUUCAAAUCAAUUGACAGUCUAUAAAAUUUAUAAUGGUAGAGUGCCUUUCUAGUUUUUUUGGUGGGAAAAGAUAUUACCUGUACGACACUUGGGUAUGAGUUAUAAUGAGGGAUGCAUGGGGCAGACAAAGGACUUCUCUCCUUUCCAGGUUGUUCAAUAGCAAGUGCUUGAAAGGGGUGGCCCUCAUGUUUGUAUGCAGAGGCAAGUCCUGACCAGCAAAUAUGGCUAAUAAUGGAGUCAGCUGCAGAAUGGAGAGAACAUGAUCAGACAAAACCCAGGCAAGUACUUUUCGUAAGCAAAUGUGCAAUACUGUGAAAGCAGCUUCUGCGGUCCACGCCUAGGAUGAUGAGGAGCUCCAUACUGAAGGCAGAGAAGAUAUCGGUCCUGAGCUUCUUGAAGGGAUCAGGCAGUGCGAGACCUGACAAUCUUUCGGUUGUUAGAUAAAAAUUUGGCAACUUCUUUGCGAGGAACAUGGGAGUGAUUUUUGCUUCUGGUUGCAUGGAAAGAAACACCAUGCUUCGGAAAGAUUUAUUGGUUAACUCUGGUCAGAAUUUAUAUUUGAGCUCUGUUGUUUUGGUCGUGUUUGUAAAUUGUAAUCCACCCUUUGUGGGCGAUGAAAUUGUAAUCCACCAAAGAGAGUGUUCUCUUGAGUUUGGAUUGAUCCGAGAGCUUGCCCUUGAUGAAAAACAAAGUGUAAUCUCCAUCAAUCUAGUGGAAAGUUGAUUUGGAUUUA